AUGGCGUAUGAGCCGGAGAAGCUCUGCUGGUGCAGGCCGCGUAGGAAGGCGCCGAGAUGGAUCUCAUGGAGCCGUCAUAACCCAGACCGGAGGUACUACGCCUGCGUUGAUGCCAUGCAAGGUGGUUGUGGCUACGUUGAAUGGCAUGAUGAUCCUCUACCGAAGUUUUUGAGUGAUUUGAUUGGUGAUUUGCGAGAUGAAGUGCGUAGGCUGAGAGGUGAAAUAAGUGUUGCUUUGUUUGAAGAUCACAGUGCAGCUGUUGCUCUGCCUGAAGCUCAAAGAGGAAGAGAGGUGCUGGAUUUGGAAGAGAAGCUCAAGGAGAAAAAUGCAGAGCUAGAUGCACUGAAGGGGAAAUAUCAGAAUGUUGUCUACCUUUUUCUUGUCUUUGUGGUAGGUUUAGUCACAGCCAAGAUGCUGCUGCAGUAA
rnacentral:rRNA from 1 species